rnacentral:rRNA from 1 species
UUUAUGACUGAACGCCUCUAAGUCAGAAUCCUGCCUAGACGCACUGAUACGAAGCGCUGAUGUUCCUCGGCUGGUCUCUGAUAGUCGGCUCCGGCUGGUGCGGAGAGCCAUUCCCGACCGGGACGAGGUGCGACCGAACUGUGGCCACACCUCGUUGGACGCACACUGCAUGUUUCAUGAGGGUGCGGCGCUGAAUGACUCACAGACGACCUGAUUCUGGCUCAGGGUUUUGUAUGUAGCAGAACAUCUCCCUCGCUGCGAUCUAUUGAAAGUCAA